rnacentral:rRNA from 1 species
AUAUCACUAAGCGGAGGAAAAGAAACCAACAGGGAUUGCCCUAGUAACGGCGAGUGAAGCGGCAUGAGCCCAGAUUUGAAAUCCAGCCUCUUUUCUAGGGGUUCGAGUUGUAAUCUGCAGAGGGUGUUCUAGGUGUAGCUUGCUACUAAGUGCCCUGGGACGGGACGCCACAGAGGGUGAGAGCCCCAUACGGUAGUAGAGCAAGCCUUUAAAGGGCCCCUUCAGAGAGUCGCGUAGUUUGGGAAUGCUGCGCAAAGUGGGAGGUAUACCCCUUCUAAGGCUAAAUACUGGCCAGAGACCGAUAGCGCACAAGUAGAGUGAUCGAAAGAUGAAAAGCACCUUGGAAAGGGGGUUAAACAGUAUGUGAAAUUGCUAAAGGGGAAGCGCCUGUCCUCAGACUCGGGCCCUAUGGCUAUCACCUAACCUGAGAAUGGCUAGGGUAUUUCAUAGGGCUUGGGCUAGCGCCGGCUAGCUAUUCUGGAGUGCAAAGGUAUUGGGAAUGUAGCCUCUCCUCUGGAGUGGUGUUAUAUCCCAGUGCGUAAUGCUCUAGGGCUAGCCGAGGUUCUCGCCUUUUUGGCAAGGGCGCUGGCAUAAUGGGGCCGGCGGCCCGUCUUGAAACACGGACCAAGGAGUCGUCCUCGUGUGCGAGUGCUCGGGUAUCAAGCCCAGGCGCGUAGUGAAAGCAAAUGCUGGUGGAAGCCCUUUUUGUGGCACACCACCGACCGAUCCAGCGGUUCUCCAAUGGAUUUGAGUAGGAGCAUACGGGGCCGGACCCGAAAGAGGGUGAACUAUGCGUGGGUAGGGCGAAGCCAGGGGAAACCCUGGUGGAGGCUCGCAGCGGUUCUGACGUGCAAAUCGAUCGUCAAACCUGCGCAUGGGGGCGAAAGACUAAUCGAACCUUCUAGUAGCUGGUUUCCACCGAAGUUUCCCUCAGGAUAGCAGUGUCGAGCUCAGUUUUAUGAGGUAAAGCGAAUGAUUAGGGACUCGGGGGCGAUAUACUGCCUUCAUCCAUUCUCAAACUUUAAAUAUGUAAGAAGCCCUUGUUACUUUGGUGAACGUGGGCGCUCGAAUGUACCGACACUAGUGGGCC